CUAGUUGCCAGCAUUCGGUUGGGCACUCUAGAGGGACUGCCGGCGACAAGUCGGAGGAAGGUGGGGAUGACGUCAAAUCAUCAUGCCCCUUAUGACCUGGGCUACACACGUGCUACAAUGGGCGGUACAAAGGGCUGCGAACCCGCGAGGGGGAGCGAAUCCCAAAAAGCCGCUCUCAGUUCGGAUUGCAGGCUGCAACUCGCCUGCAUGAAGCCGGAAUCGCUAGUAAUCGCGGAUCAGCAUGCCGCGGUGAAUACGUUCCCGGGCCUU
rnacentral:rRNA from 1 species